UACGUAGGGUGCGAGCGUUGUCCGGAAUUAUUGGGCGUAAAGAGCUCGUAGGCGGUCUGUCGCGUCUGCUGUGAAAACCCGAGGCUCAACCUCGGGCCUGCAGUGGGUACGGGCAGGCUAGAGUGCGGUAGGGGAGAAUGGAACUCCUGGUGUAGCGGUGGAAUGCGCAGAUAUCAGGAGGAACACCGAUGGCGAAGGCAGGUCUCUGGGCCACUACUGACGCUGAGAAGCGAAAGCAUGGGGAGCGAACAGG
rnacentral:rRNA from 1 species